ACACUUUUAAAUCACCGUAGAUUCCCAAAAUGCAAGCUAUCUUUGAAGAUUAGCAUGGCUCCUGCACAAGGAUGACAUGCAAAUUAGAGAAGUGUUCCAUAUCUUC